CGACAUCUCCCACCGAUGAAUCCGCCGCCUCCCCGCCGCCGGCCGACAUCCUCCGCCACGCCAUCCUUCGUCGCGUCGUCCUGCCCGCACCCUGGUCUGCCUCCUCUCCGCCACGCCCUCUUCCCCGCGCCGUCUGACUCCUCCGCGCGCGGUUCGCCGACACCGAGGCCCAGGCCGCCGCGCUCCGAGCCUGCGCCGGCCAGCUCAUGCGCGCGCCGCCGACCGCGACCGGCUGCUCAACACGCUCCUCGCGGCCGCGGGCAAUGACCAAGAGGAGGAGGACGCGCCAGAGGUGGGGCAACGUCAGAAUCAACGCGCUCGGAUCCAGCCGAGGCUUACAGCGACACGGACGCGGAGAAUCCGGCCGCGGCCGCCGCACUCCCUCCGGUCAUCACCUUCCUUCCCAUCGACAACAACUGACAAGGACUACCACGAUUAGAGCUACUCUUUGGCACCCAUGUUACAGUAUGAAGUCAAGCAGGCAACAAGGGAUCUGUGGGACGAGGCCAAGGUGUACGUGCGCAACCUUCCCUACGACGUUAGUAGCGAGCGCCUUGUGCAGCUCUUCGGGCAGGACGUCGUCGUCGAGGUCACCGUGGUGAGCAUGCUCUUCCUCUUAGACCAUCUUCAACGCUGGAUGCUAGCAUAAGGUGAUAUGAUUUGUUUCACAGUCGAUAUGUGGUAUUGGUGACAGAAGGUGCAUCACGUGCUUGGGUAUUUUCCUCCGCACGAGGUAAAGUACCAAAUGUGUUUUCAAUAUGUAAUUAGCAGCCAUGCUUAGCAUCAAGCUUUGAUAGAGGGGGCGCUUAGAUGAUUUUUGAUUUUAGGUAUUUAUUUUCUCUAUCUCUGAGCAUCUACACAGGCAACCCGCAUUAUAGAUGAUAUUAGCCUGCUGCCAGUGUCGUUCCUCUAGGCACACACACACACACACACACACACACACACACACACAUUUUGCCUGGUGAAGGGAAUGCCUCAAAUCAUCAGACUCCUGAUUAUGUGUCGUGUUCGUGAAAGACUGAAACUGACACUAUCGGUUCUAGAUGUAAAUGAUGUCUGCUUUAAUGUGGUUGUUGUGUUGUUGAAGCUCAAAUGGAGUGUUUAUGCAUAACUGAAGUGGCACAUUUAGUUCUGGACAUAUCCAACAGCCUCCAAAACUUCUGAAAGCAAAGAGCUAGAGAACCAUCCUCUAGGCUCUCCUGUACCCCAACAGAUUAUUUUUCUUCCAAAACUAUUGAUAAACGCAGCAAGUUUUAAGUGCAAUUCCACAUCCAGAUGUUGUUAUUCAGGUUGUCAUCAUACUGUAUCAGCUUCAAAGUUUAUUUUUACUCUCAAGUAGUCCAUAAAUAUGUGAACCUGAACACUCAAACUACUGCGGGGGUAGGAUUUCCGCAGUAUCCUUUGGCUGGUUAAUCUGUUUGGACUAGAAUUUUCUGAAUUGUAGUAAGCUUGGCAACUACAGAAUACAUUGUGUCGAGAUAUAAUAGCACUCGAUUCUCUAACAAUCGUUGGUUCAUGAAUUGUAGCAGGAUGAACCCAAGGCCCCUCCUGUGGAUCCCAUUGCUUUCCAUUUUUCAUGAUUGAGAUCUUGGGAUUUAACAUUUUGUAUUUUCUUGUUUAUUUUCUUUUUCUUUUGGAGGAGAACAUGAUGCAGCUUGUAAUGUGUGAAUUUACAACUUUUGUUGAAUAAACAGAAUAUAUCAACUGAGCUCUUCAGAUAUCAUCUACACCUCAGACAAGUAACAUUAACUUGCUAAAAGCACGAAAAGUAACACAAGGUUUGCAAGUUUGACAAAGUUUCCCUCCGUUCUUGAAUGUAGCUAUUUUUAUUUUCCUUCUAUUCAAACUGGUGUUGGCAUGGUGACAAAAACAUUAACUUCACACUGUUGCUAGCUGUGACGUUUUGUCAAAGUUGAAUACAAGAAAGUGGAUUUGUAAGCAGAGUGACAACGCCAAUUAUUUUUCUCCUGGUGCAACACAUGACAAUAUGUGCUACAUCGAAAGGAAAAGGAGGAAGUAAUGCACUAGAAGUUUUACAGAGUCAUGAUGCACAUUGAGGAGUUAGUGGUGUGUUUUCCUUUUCUUUUGAGACAAUUGUCGUAUAAUGGAAAAAGUACACUACCGUUCGGCUGAAACCCAUCAUAUUUCUAACGGUAUACAACCAAAAUCGUGGUGAGACC